rnacentral:rRNA from 1 species
UAAGCGCUGGAAACGGCGUCUAAUACUGGAUACGCACCGCACAGGCAUCUGUAGUGGUGGGAAAGAAUUUCGGUCAGGGAUGAGCUCGCGGCCUAUCAGCUUGUUGGUGAGGUAAUGGCUCACCAAGGCGUCGACGGGUAGCCGGCCUGAGAGGGUGACCGGCCACACUGGGACUGAGACACGGCCCAGACUCCUACGGGAGGCAGCAGUGGGGAAUAUUGCACAAUGGGCGAAAGCCUGAUGCAGCAACGCCGCGUGAGGGAUGACGGCCUUCGGGUUGUAAACCUCUUUUAGCAGGGAAGAAGCGAAAGUGACGGUACCUGCAGAAAAAGCGCCGGCUAACUACGU